CAAUAGCGUAUAUUAAAGUUGUUGCAGUUAAAAAGCUCGUAGUUGGAUUUCGGGGCAGCCUGGCUGGUCCGCCGCAAGGCGAGUACUGGUCAGCCGCCCUUCCUCUCGAAAGCCCCGACUGCUCUUUAUUGCAGUGGUCGGGUAGUUCGGGACGUUUACUUUGAAAAAAUUAGAGUGUUCAAGGCAGGCCUACGCCUGAAUACAUUAGCAUGGAAUAAUGGAAGAGGACCUCGGUCCUAUUUUGUUGGUUUCCAGGACCGAAGUAAUGAUUAAGAGGGACAGUUGGGGGCAUUCGUAUUUAAUUGUCAGAGGUGAAAUUCUCGGAUUUAUGAAAGACGAACAACCGCGAAAGCAUUUGCCAAGGAUGUUUUCAUUAA
rnacentral:rRNA from 1 species